rnacentral:tRNA from 1 species
ACCGAAAUAGCUCAGUUUGGAGAACCUUAGACUAUAGAUCGAAAAGUCCCUGGUUCGAUACCAUGUUCCGGCA